AGAGUUUGAUCCUGGCUCAGGAUGAACGCUGGCGGCGUGCUUAACACAUGCAAGUCGAACGAUCCUUCGGGAUAGUGGCGGACGGGUGAGUAACGCGUGGGAAUCUGCCCACAGGAGGGGGAUAACGGCUGGAAACGGCCGCUAAUACCCCAUAUGCCGAGAGGUGAAAUGAAUUUCGCCUGAGGAUGAGCCCGCGUCUGAUUAGCUAGUUGGUGGGGUAAUGGCCUACCAAGGCAACGAUCAGUAGCUGGUCUGAGAGGAUGAUCAGCCACACUGGGACUGAGACACGGCCCAGACUCCUACGGGAGGCAGCAGUGGGGAAUUUUCCGCAAUGGGCGAAAGCCUGACGGAGCAACGCCGCGUGAGGGAUGAAGGCCUCUGGGCUGUAAACCUCUUUUCUCAAGGAAGAAGACCUGACGGUACUUGAGGAAUAAGCCACGGCUAAUUCCGUGCCAGCAGCCGCGGUAAUACGGGAGUGGCAAGCGUUAUCCGGAAUUAUUGGGCGUAAAGCGUCCGCAGGCGGCCUUGUAAGUCUGUUGUUAAAGCGUGGAGCUCAACUCCAUUUAAGCAAUGGAAACUACAAGGCUGGAGUGUGGUAGGGGCAGAGGGAAUUCCCGGUGUAGCGGUGAAAUGCGUAGAUAUCGGGAAGAACACCAGUGGCGAAGGCGCUCUGCUGGGCCAUAACUGACGCUCAUGGACGAAAGCCAGGGGAGCGAAAGGGAUUAGAUACCCCUGUAGUCCUGGCCGUAAACGAUGAACACUAGGUGUCGGGGGAAUCGACCCCCUCGGUGUCGUAGCCAACGCGUUAAGUGUUCCGCCUGGGGAGUACGCACGCAAGUGUGAAACUCAAAGGAAUUGACGGGGGCCCGCACAAGCGGUGGAGUAUGUGGUUUAAUUCGAUGCAACGCGAAGAACCUUACCAGGGUUUGACAUCCUGCGAACCCCUGAGAGAUCGGGGGGUGCCUUCGGGAGCGCAGAGACAGGUGGUGCAUGGCUGUCGUCAGCUCGUGUCGUGAGAUGUUGGGUUAAGUCCCGCAACGAGCGCAACCCACGUCUUUAGUUGCCAGCAUUCAGUUGGGCACUCUAGAGAGACCGCCGGUGAUAAACCGGAGGAAGGUGUGGAUGACGUCAAGUCAUCAUGCCCCUUACAUCCUGGGCUACACACGUACUACAAUGCUACGGACAAAGGGCAGCAAGCUCGCGAGAGUUAGCAAAUCCCAUAAACCGUGGCUCAGUUCAGAUCGUAGGCUGCAACUCGCCUACGUGAAGGAGGAAUCGCUAGUAAUCGCAGGUCAGCAUACUGCGGUGAAUACGUUCCCGGGCCUUGUACACACCGCCCGUCACACCAUGGAAGUUGGCCAUGCCCGAAGUCGUUACUCCAACCCUUGUGGAGGAGGACGCCGAAGGUGGGGCUGAUGACUG
rnacentral:rRNA from 1 species